ACUGAUUGUUAAUGCACUGUUCUGGAGAGGCACAACACAACUGUGACCAUAUUUGCCUUCCCUGUAAAAGUCAAUAAGAUGAAGCAUGAACCUAAUUUCAACUUUCACAGCAAACAAAAAUUAAUGAAUAAAUUGCAAAUAAUUAAAAAGCUCAACCUUGAGAAUAAAUCAAGGUAGCAAUAACCCAAAAGUUCACUUGAACUUAAGUCAAAUACUGCAAAUACACGAACAUCACAAUGCCAAACUUCAGCUCCUGCAAUUUCCUCAAACCUUAAACCUGCCCAGAAAGUAACAAGAAUUACGAUGAAUGUGUAUUUUCAGUAUUAAAACAAACUGAAAACUUAGAAAAGGAAUUCUCAAUAAAAAAGAAUUUGGUGCAGGAAUAAUUAAUUACGCAAGCAGUUAAUCUCGCCAAUAAAUGCUUACUCGUGAACUACUUUAUGAACACUGGAAAGUGAACUGGUUAAUUAUUCCUAAACUGGAAAUGUUUUACCAUGAAUCACUUUCCGGUUCCUUUUCAAUAUUAACAGUAUCUGAUGGUCAAGACAAUAAAAUAUAACUACAAACAAAUUGUCAGAUAAAAUUACCAAAAAGAUCUUGGACAAUUUUGAAGAUUCCAGAUAGAACUAAACCAAUUGGUAAGUAUUGCUUGAUCUCGCCGAAGUCCAAAUCAUAACUCUGUUCUUCGACCCGUUUUACAUAAUACAGUAGGUCUUCGAUUCCAAAUGGAAACUCCCCUUCCUCUUUCUUCUGAUAUCACAAUGAAUUUAUAAUAAGAGAUUUAUAAAUUAAAUCAAACAACAAACACCAAAAAUGUGCAAACCUUCAAAUCUUUCAAGACAUCAAGUUCUUUUGUAGCCAUGUCAGUAACACGUACGGAUAUGUCAUUCAGAAACUCGAACACCUGGAGAAAAAAAUAACAGAAUAAGAUAUUAGAUUCAGGGAAAAAGUGUAGGAAAAAACAUUAAGCGGUCAACUAAAUUAAUCUGUUAACACUUACUUUAUGGAAAAGCAACAAGACAGCAUAUCCAUUUCUAGUUCCAAUAUAUAUUUAACAGGAAAAGGAAAAAAAAAAACAAUAAUUGUACUUGAUUUUAUAAUUAGUGGUUACUGGUGAUGUUUCACAUCCUUCAACUUUAUCGAUUGCAAACAAGAAUGGGCUAAACUUUCCGAAACGACAUAUGUGGCUUAUAAUGCUUUAAGUUAGAAGAAAAAAGAUGAGCAAAGAGUGAGUAAAAACAAAAGUGUGCUUAGAUAGGCUUGAUGGCAUGAUACAUUGUUGAGUUUACAUUCUUCUUUACACAGAAAAAUUUAUAAGUAAAACAAAAAAAAUAGAAGUUCAGAUGGAAUUCUCUUCUAUAACUAGGCAAACCCAAAAGAGAAGCAAUUCAUGAUACAUCUAACUAAACUCCAAGUCUCUGAUGGAAAAAAAAAUAUUAUUGCAUCUCUACAAAAAAAUUACAAACCUUUGUCGGUGUUUUUGCCAUUCUAACAUCAACAGCAUACUCAGCAUAGCACGAAUAACCAAGUAAGCGAGCAUAUUUAUGACGCUGUUGCACCUGAAUCGUGCCAAUAGAAUAUCAACGUAAAUAAACUUAUAUCACUUUGGCAUUGAAGUGUAAACACAUCCAGAACCAACACAUAUAAAACUAAAUGAAAGAUGCCCAAACGGCCCUCCAUAAAUAAUUCAAAUUUUAUGCUAUAAACUAACCUACAAGUAAAGCUCGUAAUAAACUAAUAAUCGUAUAUACACAUUCAAAACUGAAAAUACAUUCAAAUCUAGAAUAUUCAAAUGCCUUAUAAGUUGUUUCGGUUAAUGAAAAUGUAGAACAAAAUUAAAUUCAGUCCAUUUUCUUUUUCCAAAACUCUAACUACCAAUUAAAACAUAACUUGUAUAUUUAUAUCUCAAAAGCACGUCAGAAAUAUUUGAUGAUAAAUAACUGAAAUUCUUAAAGAAAAUGUCAUAAUGAAAAUUACCAGACUUUCUAAAAUAGAAAGAUUGGCUUCUCCGCAACGAUUCCCAUAUGCCCGUGAUACCAUCCUUCUCGUAGUUCCAACCUUCAUGUGAUCAAUAAAGAAUUUUAGACUUUGUCAGUAUAUUUUCCUUAAAUAACACUUGGACAAAAAUUUAUCAAGAAAAGAAGGAUGCUUUUCUAAAAAGCAUAAUAAUUGUGAAUGCCUAUGGAACAAGUGGUAUACAAGGUACCAAUAUGUUAUGUAUCAAUAAUAAUAUCGCAAAGUAAGAACCACAGUUAACCAUUUAAUUUUGAGACCUACACAAUAAUUAAAUAAUAAAAGUUCAUUGUGGACAAUUUACAAAAUCUAAAACAAUUCAUUCUGACAAAAAUAUGAAGCAGCGCUGCUUAAAAGAUUUUUUUGUAAUAAAAAAACACAGUGAAGGAAGUCAUUCCAGCUUCCCGGUCUACAUCUUCCAAGUCAAAUCCCCUUGGAAAGAGACUACAACUGGACUUUGGAUGCUUAUAAUUAUUGGAGUACCAGUGGUGCAAGAACCAACUUAAUCACAUUCGUGAUAAUGUCACUAAAAAUAAAUAUGAAACUAUUAAUUAAUACUUCAUCCACCAUACCUUGCAAAAUUCGAGUACAGCUGUGACAUGAUGGCUUCUCAAGGAGAUCUUCAAUUGUCCAUUUUCAGAUUUAUCUAAACCCUGUAAAGAAGAUAUAUAUUCCUAAGUAUAUAACAACCAGAAAACAAAAAGGGUUAACUGAAGGAAAUGCAAAAGCAGUGAUUAGGCUACAUAAAAAGCCAUGCAUGAAGGCUUCGAGUCAAACCAGGUAUAAAUAUUCCACUUAUCCAUAGUAAUAGUUAAAUCAAUCUGUAUAAGGACCUGUUUGAAUUGCCUCAUUUGAGCUUAUCUACUGGCAUAAGUUUUGCAAACUGUUUGGAAGAAUUUAUGAAAACAGCAUAUGACAUUGUUCAUACGUUGUUUUCAACUUAUUUUCAUGAGUUCUUCAAGAUAGCUCAUACGGAAACAGUUUCACUUUAUUUUAUCGUUUGCUAUACAAAUAACUUAUAUGUAAGCACUUAACCUGAUAAGCGAUCGUGCUAUAAGUUGCAAAUAAGCUGUUUAUCCAAACAGGGCCUAAGACAUGGAGAGGAAACCAGCCUAUUGUGCAUUAAUCAUACCCUUAGGUAGUACAAUCGGUUAAAUAAUUUCCUGACCUUAAAAUCUACAUUGCCUCUAUUUAUUUUUUCAAUUACUUAAAAUCCUAUUCCUUUAAACUCUUCUUUCCAUAGUCGCAUAAGUUCAUACUCUUGAGGCCUGUAUUUGAGACUUUAAAUUGGAAUGGGAGGAUGUGGUUUUUCAAUCGAAAAGAGAGGAAAGGUAGUAAUCUUCUGGUCAGAAUUUAAUAUAGGGGAAAAAAAUAGAAUAUACAUUAUCCGAUUUGUUCAGGACAUGGAAUAAAGCGGAAGUGACCGGAAAUGAACUUAUUGGUUUACCUUUUUAGUGUGAAAGGAUGAAUCGGACGUAACAUUGGGGGGUGGGGGGGCAGGUUAUUCGAUGCAGCAUCCACUUCCCAAACACGUGAGUGGUAUGGCUGUCCAUUCCCUUCCUGUUACUUCCACUAUUUUGUCCAAAGACAGAUACAGUAGAGGAUUCUCGUAAUGCUUCCACAUACCACCUCAAAAUUCAAGUUCAAUGAGGAAGCAAUCAUUCCCAGCCCGCCCUCAAGAGUUUUAUGACUCAAUUAUGCAAUUUAUGGCUCGAUAAAUAAUAGAUUACAAUGGAUUUAGAAUUAAAAUAAUAUAAACCAUAAAUUUGAAGUUAAUUAAUAGCAUACAAAUAAAAUUUAUUAGUUGAUUUGGGCCAUGAGUCAAAAGUGGAAAGCAAAUUUUUCAGAAACAUGACUACACUUGUCAAGUGGAUUGAUGGAAGAAGGAUAUAACAAACCUUGAGAAACUCUGGAGGUAAUCCAGCUAACUCUGACUCAUUGAAGGGAAGAAAUGCGCUAGCAUCGUUAAGAUUUUGGAUAUAUAUAAUGCUUAACUCGUCAAUCUGAGCUUUUAUACGCAGCAACUCUUCUCUUUUGCUUGCACUAAGGUUCAAUCCAUUUCGCUCAAAAUCUCUCACCUGUCACUGAUUAGGAAAGAAUCAACAUCUGGAUUGUACGGUUCUUGUGGAUAACUAAAUUAGCAUAUGAUUAUGAUGCAACUCCAUCAUUUCAGCAACACACACACACACAAGCAGUAACAAAUUGAUUCGGUAAGUUUCCAUAAAAUUUCCAAAAAAAAAAAAAAAAAAAAAAAAAGACUGAUGCCAAACAACUAUUUACUUUUUACCAGAAUUUGAACAAAGCUUUUGAUUUCAGCAUUCAUCCAGUCCCCCCUCACUGCAAAUGCUUUAACGACAAGAUAUAUGUCUUCACGUUUGCUGAUCCGCUUGCAUGGAAUAGCACACUAUUUAGUUUCUUAAUCCAUCAAGUGAAAAGAUGUGUGAUCUUCAAAAAAACAAAUAAACACCACACAUUGUGUGCAGCUUAACAGCAUGGGGGAGCUUAUCCUCACUGUCUUCAUUCUGUCAAUCCAGCAAACUUAGCAACCAGUCCCAUAUUAUCCCUAAGUUUUUAAGACAUUUAUGCCCCACCAGAAAUGGAUAAGGACAGAAAUCACAAAUAGUGUAAGAAACUAAAUCAAUGACAACGAACCUGCAAAUGUUAAGAUGAGCAUCUAUUCUUCGCUCUGCUUCUGCACUUGCUUUGCGCUCAUCCUCCCGUGUAGAUACCAGCUUUGGUAACAGGCAAGAUUGAAUCAAUGGAAAUUGUUGCGCUUGAAGUUCUGCUAGAGGUGAUAUAACAUUUGCAUAUGUAACC
rnacentral:lncRNA from 1 species